AUACGGAGGAUGCAAGCGUUAUCCGGAUUUAUUGGGUUUAAAGGGUGCGUAGGCGGUUUGCUAAGCGGGAGGUGAAAUGCCGGCGCUCAACGUCGGAAGUGCCUCCCGAACUGGUGGACUGGAAUGACUCUGCCGUGGGAGGAAUGUGUAGUGUAGUGGUGAAAUGCUUAGAGAUUACACAGAACACCGAUUGCGAAGGCAUCUCACGAAGGGUUGAUUGACGCUGAGGCACGAAAGCGUGGGGAUCAAACAGGAUUAGAUACCCUGGUAGUCCACGCAGUAAACGAUGAUGGCUAACCGCUGGGCUUAUCAGUUCAGUGGCCAAGCGAAAGCGAUAAGCCAUCCACCUGGGGAGUACGACCGCAAGGUUGAAACUCAAAUGAAUUGACGGGG
rnacentral:rRNA from 1 species